UGGCGGACGGGUGAGUAACGCGUAAAGAACUUGCCCUUUAGACUGGGAUAACAGAGGGAAACUUCUGAUAAUACUGGAUAAGUUAGUAUAUCGCAUGAUAUGCAAAUGAAAGCUACGGCACUAAAGGAGAGCUUCGCGUCCUAUUAGCUAGUUGGUAAGGUAAGAGCUUACCAAGGCGAUGAUAGGUAGCCGGCCUGAGAGGGUGGACGGCCACAAGGGGACUGAGAUACGGCCCUGACUCCUACGGGAGGCAGCAGUA
rnacentral:rRNA from 1 species